AAUGCUUGUCUACCACCCGUUCC
rnacentral:miRNA from 1 species